rnacentral:rRNA from 1 species
UAGUAGCUGGUUCCCUCCGAAGUUUCCCUCAGGAUAGCUGGCACUCGUUUGAAGCGAGUCUCAUCUGGUAAAGCGAAUGAUUAGAGGCCUCUUGGGGCCGAAACGACCUCAACCUAUUCUCAAACUUUAAAUGGGUGAGAUCUCUGGCUUGCUUGAAACUUGAAGCCAUGAGAUUAACAUGUAAAAAAUGAUCAGAGUGCCAANNG